GAUGAACGCUAGCGGCAGGCCUAACACAUGCAAGUCGAGGGGUAGAGUUAGCUUGCUAACUUGAGACCGGCGCACGGGUGCGUAACGCGUAUGCAAUCUACCUUGUACAGAGGGAUAGCCCAGAGAAAUUUGGAUUAAUACCUCAUAGUAUCUUUACCUGGCAUCGGGUAAUUAUUAAAGUUCCAACGGUACAAGAUGAGCAUGCGUCCCAUUAGUUAGUUGGUAAGGUAACGGCUUACCAAGACAAUGAUGGGUAGGGGUCCUGAGAGGGAGAUCCCCCACACUGGUACUGAGACACGGACCAGACUCCUACGGGAGGCAGCAGUGAGGAAUAUUGGUCAAUGGACGCAAGUCUGAACCAGCCAUGCCGCGUGCAGGAAGACGGUCCUAUGGAUUGUAAACUGCUUUUGUACGGGAAGAAACACCCCCUCGUGAGGGGGCGUUGACGGUACCGUAAGAAUAAGGAUCGGCUAACUCCGUGCCAGCAGCCACGGUAAU
rnacentral:rRNA from 1 species